rnacentral:rRNA from 1 species
GUCUAUUACGGUGAUAUUUAUAGUCUAGCCUGCUCAGUGACAUAAAAGUGUUAAAUAGCCGCGGUAUCCUGACCGUGCAAAGGUAGCAUAAUCAUUAGUUUUUUAAUUGGAAACUAGAAUGAAUGGUUGGACAAGAAAAAAACUGUCUUUUUUAUUAAAAUUGAAAUUAACUUUUAAGUGAAAAGGCUUAAAAUUUACUAAGGGGACGAUAAGACCCUAUAAAGCUUUAUAAAUUCAGAGAUUUUAGAUAUUUUAUAUAUAAAUUUAUUUUUUGAUAAUUUAUUUGGUUGGGGCGACAAGGGUAUAAUUAUAAAUAACUGCCAUUAAUGUUUAUACAUAUAUUUUUGAUUUAAAUUUAAUAUAGUAGUUGAUCCUUUUUAAGGAUUUAAAGAUCAAGUUACUUUAGGGAUAACAGCGUAAUUUCUUCUGAGAGUUCUUAUCAAAGAAGAAGUUUGCGACCUCGAUGUUGAAUUAAAAUGUCUUUAUAGUGCAGCAGCUAUAAAAGAAGGUCUGUUCGACCUUUAAUUUUUU